UGGGGAAUUUUGGACAAUGGGCGAAAGCCUGAUCCAGCAAUGCCGCGUGUGUGAAGAAGCACUUCGGGUUGUAAAGCACUUUUGUCCGGAAAGAAAUCCUUGGCUCUAAUACAGUCGGGGGAUGACGGUACCGGAAGAAUAAGCACCGGCUAACUACGUGCCAGCAGCCGCGGUAAUACGUAGGGUGCAAGCGUUAAUCGGAAUUACUGGGCGUAAAGCGUGCGCAGGCGGUUUGCUAAGACCGAUGUGAAAUCCCCGGGCUCAACCUGGGAACUGCAUUGGUGACUGGCAGGCUAGAGUAUGGCAGAGGGGGGUAGAAUUCCACGUGUAGCAGUGAAAUGCGUAGAGAUGUGGAGGAAUACCGAUGGCGAAGGCAGCCCCCUGGGCCAAUACUGACGCUCAUGCACGAAAGCGUGGGGAACAAACAGGAUUAGAUACCCUGGUAGUCCACGCCCUAAAACGAUGUCAACUAGUUGUUGGGGAUUCAUUUCCUUAGUAACGUAGCUAACGCGUGAAGUUGACCGCCUGGGGAGUACGGUCGCAAGAUUAAAACUUAAAUGAAUUGACGGGGUCAUAGCUGUUUCCU
rnacentral:rRNA from 1 species